UACAGGGGGUGCAAACGUUGCUCGGAAUCAUUGGGCGUAAAGCGCACGUAGGCGGUUCGUUAUGUCGGAUGUGAAAGCCCUUGGCUUAACCGAGGAAGUGCAUCCGAAACUGGCGAGCUAGAGUACGAAAGAGGAUCGCGGAAUUCCCCGGUGUAGAGGUGGAAUGCGUAGAGAUCCGGAAGAACACCGGUGGCGAAGGCGGCCUGCUGGGCAGUUGCUGACACU
rnacentral:rRNA from 1 species